GCCAGACUCCUACGGGAGGCAGCAGUGAGGAAUAUUGCACAAUGGGGGGAACCCUGAUGCAGCGACGCCGCGUGGGCGAGGAAGUAUUUCGGUAUGUAAAGCCCUAUCGGCAGGGAAGAAGAAAUGACGGUACCUGAAUAAGAAGCACCGGCUAAAUACGUGCCAGCAGCCGCGGUAAUACGUAUGGUGCAAGCGUUAUCCGGAUUUACUGGGCGUAAAGGGAGCGCAGGCGGCGCGCCAAGUCUGAUGUGGAACCCCGGGGCCCAACCCCGGGACUGCCCUUGGAACUGCAUGGCUGGAGUGCGGGAGGGGCAGGCGGAAUUCCUGGUGUAGCGGUGAAAUGCGUAGAUAUCAGGAGGAACACCGGCGGCGAAGGCGGCCUGCUGGACCGCGACUGACGUUGAGGCUCGAAAGCGUGGGGAGCGAACAGGAUUAGAUACCCGGGUA
rnacentral:rRNA from 1 species